GCACUGAAACACGGGCCAUACUCCUACGGGAGGCAGCAGUGAGGAAUAUUGCACAAUCGACGCAAGUCGGAUGCAGCAACGCCGCGUGGACAAUGAAGGCCUUCGGGUUGUAAAGUCCUUUUAAGAGGGACGAGGAAGGACGGUACCUCUUGAAUAAGUCUCGGCUAACUACGUGCCAGCAGCCGCGGUAACACAUAGGAGGCGAGCGUUAUCCGGAUUUAUUGGGCGUAAAGCGCAUGCAGGUGGCUAGGUAAGUCGGGUGUGAAAGCCCCGGACUUAAUCCGGGGAGGUCAUUCGAUACUGCUUGGCUUGAGAGCGGGAGAGGGAAGUGGAAUUCUCGGUGUAGUGGUGAUAUGCGUAGAUAUCGAGAGGAACACCAGUGGCGAAGGCGGCUUCCUGGCCCGUAUCUGACACUAAGAUGCGAAAGCGUGGGUAGCAAACGGACUUAGAUACUCCGGUAGUCCACGCUGUAAACGAUGGGUACUAGGUGUAGGGGGUGUAAAACUCUCUGUGCCAUAGUUAACGCACUAAGUACCCCGCCUGGGGACUACGGUCGCAAGGCUAAAACUCAAAGGAAUUGACGGGGGCCCGCACAAGCAGCGGAGCGUGUGGUUCAAUUCGAAGAUACACGAAGAACCUUACCUGGGCUUGACAUGUUGGUAGUAGUGAAGCGAAAGCGGAACGAUCCUUCGGGAAGCCAUCACAGGUGCUGCAUGGCUGUCGUCAGCUCGUGCCGUGAGGUGUUGGGUUAAGUCCUGUAACGAGCGCAACCCUCGCUGCCAGUUACAAGUGUCUGGCGGGACUGCCGGUGACAAACCGGAGGAAGGUGGGGAUGACGUCAAGUCAGCAUGGCCUUUAUGUCCAGGGCUACACACACGCUACAAUGGCCGGUACAAUAGGUUGCCAAGUCGUGAGGCGGAGCUAAUCCUCAAAACCGGUCUCAGUUCGAAUUGCAGGCUGCAACCCGCCUGCAUGAAGUUGGAGUUGCUAGUAAACGCGCGUCAGCAAUAGCGCGUUGAAUACGUUCCCGGGCCUUGUACACACCGCCCGUCACGUCAUGGGGGUUGGUUAC
rnacentral:rRNA from 1 species